UACGAAGGGGGCUAGCGUUGCUCGGAAUCACUGGGCGUAAAGGGCGCGUAGGCGGCGUUUUUAAGUCGGGGGUGAAAGCCUGUGGCUCAACCACAGAAUUGCCUUCGAUACUGGGACGCUUGAGUGUGGUAGAGGUUGGUGGAACUGCGAGUGUAGAGGUGAAAAUUCGUAGAUAUUCGCAAGAACACCGGUGGCGAAGGCGGCCAACUGGACCAUCACUGACGCUGAGGAGCGAAAGCGUGGGUAGCAAACAGG
rnacentral:rRNA from 1 species